rnacentral:rRNA from 1 species
UACGUAGGUGACCAGCGUUGUCCGGAUUUACUGGGCGUAAAGAGCGCGCAGGCGGUCGUUCAAGUCGGGUGUGAAAGCCCCCGGCUCAACUGGGGAGGGUCACUCGAUACUGAUCGACUUGAAGGCAGGAGAGGGAAGCGGAAUUCCCGGUGUAGUGGUGAAAUGCGUAGAUAUCGAGAGGAACACCUGCGGCGAAGGCGGGUUGCUGGGCUGACACUGACGCUGAUGCGCGAAAGCCAGGGGAGCGAACGGG